AUUUAAAUAGCUUAAUAAUAGAGCGUAAUAUUGAAGAUAUUAAAGUGACAUGAAAUUGUUUUUAAAUA
rnacentral:tRNA from 1 species